CACUGAGUGCGUCAACCCGUGCGUGCGUGAUGACGUAGUGUCAUGUGACAUGCAACCCAAACACUACGUCAUCACGCACGCAAGGGUUGACGCACUCAGUG